UGCUCAAAUCAAAGCCUUCCAGAG
rnacentral:siRNA from 1 species